ACGACAGAUCAGAAACUUUAGAUUUCUUUGAUCUUAUGACUGUUUUAUGGAGAAUAUUUGUUGUUUAGACAAGUUCGCUUUUUUUCUCAAUUGUGAUUGCCUAUCCUGUGCUACCUGGAGCUACCCAUGAGUGUCCCGUUACCCUCCCUCCUAACAUAUUUGAAAACAGUCGAUGUUGUGCCCAAAUUAAAUUGGUGCAAGAAAUUAUGCAUGCAUGAAAGAAAUGAGAUGAUGCAUGCACGCACACCACCAAUCCAACAGCAACACUAGAAUCUCUGGAUCACGACCGAGGCGCAGAUGCUGAUUCAUCGUAUCAGAGGAGACACCUCAAAUGUUACUUGUCGCACAAGUUCUCCAUUACGGGUUUUGGCGAGUUAAGCAACCACACCAUCAUUGACACUAGAAUCCAACUUACAACUUCACCGACGUCGUAACCGGAUUCUUUGCCAUUUGUAAUCGGAAUGAUCAGGACAGGUGGAAGCUGUCAACAAGGCUUUAAAAUCCGGUGAAUUUUCAGCGAUAAUCAUCAGGAUCCAUUUAUUAUCCAUUUCAGGACCUACCGAUAUCAUCGUCCACUGCCAGGAAAAGCAUUUCAAUCAAGAACAACGGUUAAAAUCCUGGUGAAAUGUCCUCUUUCUAUGAGACCGAAACCGGAAAGCUGAUGACCCUACAACAAUCCCACUUCUUUCUCUGGUAUCCUCAGGUGAAGUUACGUCGCAUAGUAUAGCCCGUGGUGUAGCUGACUGGUCUACGAAUGUAGGCCAUGCCAAAUUUCAAGAGGAUCACAGAUCUCUGGUCAAGUUAUAUGACAGCUCGACAGUUCAGGACCCUCUGCUCACUUCCGGUGUAGUUUCGGCGCAAAAUAUUAAGAAAUGGUUGAGGUUUUGACACUAGAUGGUUUUGUAUAUUGGCGAACAAAUGAAUGUCCAUGAAAUGUCAAAAGUUAUGUAGAGUAAAAUGUAAUAAGAGAUGUAUGGUGCAAAGCCUCGUCUGUUGAUCGCCCUUAUUAAGUCAUCGUUUGUCUGAUGCCUUUGUCAAUAAUAGUGAAGUUGGAGCGGCAGCAGCAGCAGAUCCUCAAUAGUGGUCUCCAGUUCAACAGCAGCUGUCGAUAAUGGUCAUGGGAUUACGAACUUACUCGCCCGUUUAGUGCGUCGAUUCGCCAAUUAUUUGUUUGGCCUUUUGUAUAGCAUCGGACUCCAAAAUCACUGCAAUGAAAUUAGGGCGCUCUUUUGUUGCCGGAGUGACGGAACGGAGUGUCAAAAUAUAUCAUAUGGGGGAAUUGAGUCUGUAUCAAUGUGGUCCUAGUUCGCCCCCAGUCACUCCAGUUGAACAGAUUGCGUCGCAGCCGGGAACUUCUUUUGGUUAUUUCAUGGAAAUUGAUGACGCAAAUGUGACAUCACAACAGACACAAUUUGUUUUGUAAAAAACCUUUCUGGGGUGUCUGUUUUUUUGGAUGCCGGACAUUUAUUGGUCUUAAGCUGUGUCUUCAUGAUGAAAAGCUGCACAUAUUUUGUUUCAAAACCCUCUUGUGUAAUUUGUUUUCUUUUUCAGAGGUACCAGCACCUGGUAGAGAAAUUUCGUACUACUUUAUGGAAUCCCAUUUCUGCUGUCGUCUGCUUCCUUCAUUCAGUCCUUCACUCUUGGCCUUCACGGUUGAUGUUGAUUGUUGAUAGUGGGAGAUGUUCGUUGUGGCACUAGAGUAAAUUUUCCAUUAUGGUAGUCUUGGGGACACAAUCAAUAGGGAUAGCUCCAAGUGAAACUACAGGAAAACUUCUUGAAUUGUUGAUCGCUUCAGAUUUAGUUAAUGACUAGAGAGUAGACCCCUUUGCUUCUCUGUUGCAAUUAUGAGUUAAGACCAUUAUGGAAAUGUGGAUUACAUUUGUUAUUUUUAAGUUGAAAAACUUGACAACUACAAAUUCCUUUGUAAGAUUUAUCA